UACAGAGGGUGCGAGCGUUGUUCGGAAUUAUUGGGCGUAAAGGGCGCGUAGGCGGUUUGGACAGUCAGAUGUGAAAUUCCUGGGCUCAACCUGGGGGCUGCAUUUGAUACGUUCGGACUAGAGUGGGGAAGAGGGUCGUGGAAUUCCCAGUGUAGAGGUGAAAUUCGUAGAUAUUGGGAAGAACACCGGUGGCGAAGGCGGCGACCUGGUCCUUGACUGACGCUGAGGCGCGAAAGCGUGGGGAGCAAACAGG
rnacentral:rRNA from 1 species